GACGAACGCUGGCGGCGUGCCUAAUACAUGCAAGUAGAACGCUGAAGGAGGAGCUUGCUUCUCUGGAUGAGUUGCGAACGGGUGAGUAACGCGUAGGUAACCUGCCUGGUAGCGGGGGAUAACUAUUGGAAACGAUAGCUAAUACCGCAUAAUAGCAGUUGUUGCAUGAUAACUGUUUGAAAGGUGCACUUGCACCACUACCAGAUGGACCUGCGUUGUAUUAGCUAGUUGGUGGGGUAACGGCUCACCAAGGCGACGAUACAUAGCCGACCUGAGAGGGUGAGCUGCCACGCUGGGACGGGGACACGGCCCGGACUCCUACGAGAGGCAGCAGUAGGGAAUCUUCGGCAAUGGACGGAAGUCUGACCGAGCAACGCCGCGUGAGUGAAGAAGGUUUUCGGAUCGUAAAGCUCUGUUGUAAGAGAAGAACGAGUGUGAGAGUGGAGAGUUCACACUGUGACGGUAUCUUACCAGAAAGGGACGGCUAACUACGUG
rnacentral:rRNA from 1 species